UUUCCGUAGGUGAACCUGCGGAAGGAUCAUUAAAGAACGCCCCGUUUUUUGAAAUGGGUAAUUCUAAACCGUGUAUACAUACCUUUGUUGCCUUGGCAGGCCGCCCCUCAGGGCGUCGGCUCCGGCUGACUGCGCCUGCCAGAGGACCCAAACUCUUUUGUUUAGUGAUGUCUGAGUACUAUAUAAUAGUUAAAACUUUCAACAACGGAUCUCUUGGUUCUG
rnacentral:misc_RNA from 1 species